rnacentral:lncRNA from 1 species
AAAAACUCUUUCCAAUUUAUACUAGUCGAAAAUAGGACAUUUUAGAAUGGUAGAAUCACAUGAAAAAUCUUAGAAAAUAUUCAUACUCGUACUCAUCUAGGGUUUUUCCCAGCCAAAUGAUAAUAUAAAUAGUCGGCUAUAAUAAUUCACUUCACUCUUGUUCUCGUUCUACCCAACUUCUGUCUCUAGCCGCCUCUCUCCAACUCUCUCGCAGAUCGCCAUGGCCAUCACCUUCUCAGAUCUCUACACCGAGGCCGGUCUCAAGUCCCUCGACGAGUUCCUCGCCGGAAAAUCUUACAUCUCCGGGUAACAAUUUCUUCUUUCUUCUUACUUUUUUUAUUCUGUUCGAUAUAAUAUAUAUAUAUAUUUUUUUUUUCCGCUUGGAUUUUACUUUAUUUUUGGUUUUUGGUAUAAUUAAAUUAAAAAAAUUGACGAAUAAUUCACUUAUCAUCCCAAUCUCAGAGACAAGCUGACUUUGGAUGAUAUCAAGGUGUACGCCGCUGUGCUGGAAAAGCCCGCCGGUUCCUUUGCCAAUGUGAGCAAGUGGUACGACGGCGUUUCAGCCCAACUCGCUGCAAACUUCCCCGGCAAGGCUGCCGGAGUGAGAGUCAGCAGCGGCAAGGCCGAGUCUGCUGCUCCUGCUCCAUCUGCCGCUGCUGGAGGCGAUGCCGAUGACGAUUUGGACCUUUUUGGAGAUGAAACCGAGGAGGACAAGAAGGCCGAGGCGGAGAUGGCGGCAGCCAAAAAGGCUUCUUUGACAGUUAAGUUAGUAAGCAAUAUUAAAACUAAGUAACAUAGUAAGUUUGUAAAUUAUGUUACUAAGGAUGAACCCUAAAAUGAUAUAUUUAUACGGAAAUAGAUCCUCUCCGAAUAUUUCCCUCAAAAACCCAGAGAUCAAGUGAUCCAAACCUUUAAAAUUUAAUCUAACGGUCAAAAGAUAUUAUAGCUUUUAUAUUGAUUUCUCUGUUUUUAACUGUUAGAUCAAAUUUUAAAGAUCCAGAUCAUUUGAUCUCCGAACUUUGAAGAAAAAAAUCUGAAGAAAAACUCUUUCCAAUUUAUACUAGUCGAAAAUAGGACAUUUUAGAAUGGUAGAAUCACAUGAAAAAUCUUAGAAAAUAUUCAUCUAGGGUUUUUCCCAGCGCAAUGAUAAUAUAAAUAGCCGGCUAUAAUAAUUCACUCCACUCUUGUUCUCGUUCUACCCAACUUCUGUCUUUAGCCGCCUCUCUCCAACUCUCUCGCAGAUCGCCAUGGCCAUCACCUUCUCAGAUCUCUACACCGAGGCCGGUCUCAAGUCCCUCGACGAGUUCCUCGCCGGAAAAUCUUACAUCUCCGGGUAACAAUUUCUUCUUUCUUCUUACUUUUUUUAUUCUGUUCGAUAUAAUAUAUAUAUAUAUUUUUUUUUUCCGCUUGGAUUUUACUUUAUUUUUGG